rnacentral:rRNA from 1 species
UACGUAGGGGGCAAGCGUUGUCCGGAUUUAUUGGGCGUAAAGAGCGUGUAGGCGGCUUGGUAGGUCCGCUGUGAAAACUCGAGGCUCAACCUCGAGAUGUCGGCGGAAACCACUUGGCUAGAGUCCGGAAGAGGAGAGUGGAAUUCCGGGUGUAGCGGUGGAAUGCGUAGAGAUCCGGAAGAACACCGGUGGCGAAGGCGGCCUGCUGGGCAGUAGCUGACGCUGAGGCGCGACAGCGUGGGGAGCAAACAGG